GACCUCAUCGGUGGUCUAGUGGUUAGAACGUCCGCCUAGGAUGCGGAAGGUCGUGGGUUCGAUUCCCAGCAGAGUCA